UAGACACUACUGUUGGAAUUUGCUUCAGGCC
rnacentral:piRNA from 1 species